AUUGAACGCUGGCGGCAGGCCUAACACAUGCAAGUCGAACGAGUGGCGGACGGGUGAGUAAUGUCUGGGAAACUGCCUGAUGGAUGGGGAUAACUACUGGAAACGGUAGCUAAUACCGCAUACCAUCGGAUGUGCCCAGAUGGGAUUAGCUAGUAGGUGGGGUAAAGGCUCACCAAGGCGACGAUCCCUAGCUGGUCCGAGAGGAUGACCGGCCACACUGGAACUGAGACACGGUCCAGACUCCUACGGGAGGCAGCAGUGGGGAAUAUUGCGCAAUGGGCGCAAGCCUGAUGGAGCCAUGCCGCGUGUAUGAAGAAGGGCUUCGGGUUGUAAAGUUCUUUCAGCGGGGAGGCGUUACCCACAGAGAAAGCAACGGCUAACUCCGUGCCAGCAGCCGCGGUAAUAC
rnacentral:rRNA from 1 species